rnacentral:rRNA from 1 species
UACGGAGGAUGCAAGCGUUAUCCGGAAUGAUUGGGCGUAAAGCGUCCGCAGGUGGCAAUGUAAGUCUGCUGUCAAAGCGUCUGGCUCAACCAGAUAAAGGCAGUGGAAACUACAUAGCUAGAGUAAGGUAGGGGUAGAGGGAAUUCCUGGUGUAGCGGUGAAAUGCGUAGAGAUCAGGAAGAACACCGGUGGCGAAAGCGGCCAUCUGGACGGUAACUGACGCUGAGACGCGAAAGCGUGGGGAGCAAACAGG